AUAAUCAAACGCUAAUGUUACCACAAUGCUUGCACUCGUGUAUUCGAUACGAUAGGGAUAGCUUCGUGAGAUACAAAUUUUUCAAUGUAUCAAAUUCGGAUAUAUUUUUUGGUUUUGUAUGCAGAAAAAGUUGGCCGUAGGCGCAUAUAAGAACCGAUUGGUUUCUUCCACAUACACUGCGCUCCUAGUAAUACACUACACGUGGUGGAUCUUCCAACAGGCCGGCGACCAAAGAAGUUGCACAGGUGACAGUGACUGCGGUAACAUUACGACAUUCUGUUGCGUGAUACGAAGCAAUGGUCAACCAAUCGGAAAGUGCGAACCGAAACCUGGACUCGGGGAAAAAUGCUCGACAGCAGUAUCCUCGAACAGGAAACCCAACACGGUUAACCUUCUUCAUAGAGACGGCUGCCCCUGCCGACCACCAUACGUGUGUGCCCGCCCUUCACCGAAAUCCGGGUUAGGCACUUGCCAGAAACCAUGAAGAACGAACAUCCGGAUGAAGACUAACUAGCCUAGCCUAAAGUUCGAAGUGCACAACUUGUGGUUCAAGAAUUAAAUUCACGCUCUGCUUGUG
rnacentral:lncRNA from 1 species